GAGAAUUAUUAACUCCAGAAGCACUGAGCGUGACGAUUGUUCAUCUUGUUCUUUCAUUUUAGGCCCAUCGCAACCUCAGUGUGGGAGCCAAGCUUCGUGCAAUUUUGGACAAAAAAGGGCUUGCGGAAUGAAAAAUGGGAAAACAUCUUUCGUAAACUGCAUACAGCCUUCGCAAGCGUGCACGCAAGCCCUAAAAUCCUUUUGUGCAGCCCCUGAAGUGCCCAUAUGCAACGAGCUUUCCACUGAGUGCAUUUGCAGCUGUGGACAAGAGACAGGAAUGUUUGGAAAUCGUCGGACAUCAGGAUAGCGUUGACCAGCAUACAUGAUUCAGGAGUCAUUGAAG